CCUACGGGAGGCAGCAGUCGAGAAUCAUUCACAAUGGGGGAAACCCUGAUGGUGCGACGCCGCGUGGGGGAAUGAAGGUCUUCGGAUUGUAAACCCCUGUCAUGUGGGAGCAAAUUAAAAAGAUAGUACCCCAAGAGGAAGUGACGGCUAAGUCUGUGUCAGCUGCCGCGGUAAUACCGGGGUCUCAAGCAGUGUUCGGAAUUACUGGGCGUAAAGCGUGCGGAGGUUGGUUCGUCAGACGUGUGUGAAAGGUGCGGGCUCAACCCGCGUCGGGCAGAGGAUACUGCGAGACUGGAGUAAGGGAGGGGUAUCCGGAAUUCGCGGUGUAGCAGUGAAAUGCGUAGAUAUCGAGAGGAACACUGGUGGCGAAGGCGGGUUCCUGGACAUUAACUGACGCUGAGGCACGAAGGCCAGGGGAGCGAAAGGGAUUAGAUACCCUAGUAGUC
rnacentral:rRNA from 1 species